rnacentral:rRNA from 1 species
AUUGAACGCUGGCGGCAGGCCUAACACAUGCAAGUCGAACGAGUGGCGGACGGGUGAGUAAUGUCUGGGAAAAUGCCUGAUGGAGGGGGAUAACUACUGGAAACGGUAGCUAAUACCGCAUACCAUCAGAUGUGCCCCGAUGGGAUUAUCUAGUAGGUGGGGUAAAGGCUCACCUAGGCGACGCUCCCUAGCUGGUCUGAGAGGAUGACACGCCACACUGGAACUGAGACAAGGUCCAGACGCCUACGGGAGGCAGCAGUGGGGAAUAUUGCACAAUGAGCGCAAGCCUGAUACAGCCAUGCCGCGUGGAUGAAGAAGGCCUUCGGGUUGUAAAGUACUUUCAGCGGGGAGGCGUUACCCGCAGAAGAAGCACCGGCUAACUCCGUGCCAGCCGCCGCGGUAAUAC